rnacentral:rRNA from 1 species
GAUGAACGCUAGCGGGAGGCCUAACACAUGCAAGCCGAGCGGUAGAGUUCCUUCGGGAACUUGAGAGCGGCGUACGGGUGCGUAACACGUGUGCAACCUACCUUUAUCUGGGGGAUAGCCUUUCGAAAGGAAGAUUAAUACCCCAUAAUAUAAUGAUUGUCAUCAAUUAUUAUUGAAAACUCCGGUGGAUAGAGAUGGACACGCGCAAGAUUAGAUAGUUGGUGAGGUAACGGCUCACCAAGUCAAUGAUCUUUAGGGGUCCUGAGAGGGAGAUCCCCCACACUGGUACUGAGACACGGACCAGACUCCUACGGGAGGCAGCAGUGAGGAAUAUUGGACAAUGGGUGAAAGCCUGAUCCAGCCAUCCCGCGUGAAGGAUGACGGUCCUAUGGAUUGUAAACUUCUUUUGGACAGGGAUAAACCUACUCUCGUGAGGGUAGCUGAAGGUACUGUACGAAUAAGCACCGGCUAACUCCGUG